ACGUACACUCCUACGGGAGGCAGCAGUGGGGAAUAUUGCACAAUGGGCGCAAGCCUGAUGCAGCCAUGCCGCGUGUAUGAAGAAGGCCUUCGGGUUGUAAAGUACUUUCAGCGGGGAGGAAGGCGAUAAGGUUAAUAACCUUGUUGAUUGACGUUACCCGCAGAAGAAGCACCGGCUAACUCCGUGCCAGCAGCCGCGGUAAUACGGAGGGUGCAAGCGUUAAUCGGAAUUACUGGGCGUAAAGCGCACGCAGGCGGUCUGUCAAGUCGGAUGUGAAAUCCCCGGGCUCAACCUGGGAACUGCAUUCGAAACUGGCAGGCUAGAGUCUUGUAGAGGGGGGUAGAAUUCCAGGUGUAGCGGUGAAAUGCGUAGAGAUCUGGAGGAAUACCGGUGGCGAAGGCGGCCCCCUGGACAAAGACUGACGCUCAGGUGCGAAAGCGUGGGGAGCAAACAGGAUUAGAAACCCCAGUAGUCCCAUGA
rnacentral:rRNA from 1 species